rnacentral:rRNA from 1 species
UCCGAGUUGUAAUUUGUAGAGGAUGUUUUGGGUACCGCCCCGGUUUAAAUUUCUUGGAACAGAAUGUCAAAGAGGGUGAGAAUCCCGUCUUGGACCGGUGGUAGGGCCUGUGUAAAACUCCUUCGACGAGUCGAGUUGUUUGGGAAUGCAGCUCAAAAUGGGUGGUAAAUUUCAUCUAAAGCUAAAUAUUGGCCAGAGACCGAUAGCGCACAAGUAGAGUGAUCGAAAGAUGAAAAGAACUUUGAAAAGAGAGUUAAACAGUAUGUGAAAUUGUUGAAAGGGAAGCGCUUGCAACCAGACUUGAGCGCGACGGUUCCCCUAGCCUUUUGGCUAGGUUACUCCGUCGUGUCCAGGCCAACAUCGGUUCUGAGGGUCGGUCAAAGGCCCCGGGAAUGUACCUACCCACGGGUAGACUUAUAGACCGGGGUGUCAUGCGGCCUCUCGGGACCGAGGAACGCGCUUCGGCUCGGAUGUUGGCGUAAUGGUUGUCAGCGACCCGUCKUGAAACACGGACCAAGGAGUCUAACAUCUAUGCGAGUGUUUGGGUGUCAAACCCGGAACGCGGAAUGAAAGUGAACGGAGGUAGGAAGCUUCGGCUGCACUAUCGACCGAUCYUGAAGUUUACGGAUGGAUUUGAGUAAGAGCAUAGCUGUUGGGACCCGAAAGAUGGUGAACUAUGCCUGAAUAGGGUGAAGCCAGAGGAAACUCUGGUGGAGGCUCGCAGCGGUUCUGACGUGCAAAUCGAUCGUCAAAUUUGGGUAUAGGG